CUUUAGACCAGCUUGUGUCUAAUCCUUUAUAUGACUUGAUGAAGUUAGUGGGAGGAUUUACAACUUACAUGUCAACUUCUUUUUUUUUUUCAGAUCAAUGAAAUCAAAUUUUCUAAAUUAUUAGGUCCAUAAAAUGAUACAGUUAUGAGAUAACUUGUUCAUAGCCUCCCAUUAAGAUGCGUGGUAAUGAGUCCAAUAUUUCAAAUAAGCAUUGGAGGUGCUACACGCUUGAUGUCUAUUACGUAUUAGAAUUAUCAUCUAUCAUAUGACCAUCCUAUUAUACCUCC
rnacentral:lncRNA from 1 species